rnacentral:rRNA from 1 species
GACGAACGCUGGCGGCGUGCUUAGCACGUGCAAGUCGAACGGAAAGGCCCUGCUUUUGUGGGGUGCUCGAGUGGCGAACGGGUGAGUAACACGUGAGUAACCUGCCCUUGACUUUGGGAUAACUUCAGGAAACUGGGGCUAAUACCGGAUAGGAGCUCCUGCUGCAUGGUGGGGGUUGGAAAGUUUCGGCGGUUGGGGAUGGACUCGCGGCUUAUCAGCUUGUUGGUGGGGUAGUGGCUUACCAAGGCUUUGACGGGUAGCCGGCCUGAGAGGGUGACCGGCCACAUUGGGACUGAGAUACGGCCCAGACUCCUACGGGAGGCAGCAGUGGGGAAUAUUGCACAAUGGGCGGAAGCCUGAUGCAGCAACGCCGCGUGCGGGAUGACGGCCUUCGGGUUGUAAACCGCUUUCGCCUGUGACGAAGCGUGAGUGACGGUAAUGGGUAAAGAAGCACCGGCUAACUACGUG